GGGGUUGAGAAAACGUUCCUCUUGAAAACCUUUGUUCAAAGUUUACGUUACUUCAUGUCAGUAUCUGUUGCAAGCUUGUUCAAAAUUUUUCAAACACACUUGGCUUUGUGAGUUUGUGCCGCUAUGCUUCUUUACUUAACUACGACAUUUUCAUUCAGCCAGGUACACCAUCAAAUUGAUCAAAAUGUCAAAUGUAUAAUAAUAAUGAGAAUUGAAGCUAUUUCAUAUAUUAUAUUAUUAAUACACUUAGGAAAAUAAUUGAAAAUAAUUUCCCUUUUCCCCCAGAAUUUGGGCAUCCAUUUUUUGUUCUAGGGGUGUCCCAGGAUGCCCUUCUGGCUAAAAGCCUGCGUAUAGGCUAUUGCAGUAAUUGAAAAAUACUGAAGUAUGAUAUCAAAAUUGAACUGCUGAUGAUAUUGAUAAUUAGUAUUUCUCACUCUGGAACAGCACCAAAUUUUAACCUAUUUUUUGUUCACAUACUUACAAAUAUAUUUAGCACAUUCAAUUAGGGUUGUGUUGAAAAAUGAAAGCCUUAUGGACUAAAAGUUGUUGAACUUAUCUAUUCUUAAUAUAGUUGUACCAUACUCAAUUAAUGCUGAAAAUACAAAACAGAUUUGAUAUACCAUACAUAAGUAUUAGAUAAUUGAAAUUAAUAUAUAUCAGGACAAAUUGAACAUAGUUCCUGUUGUUUAUCAUGUAAAAGUUGGAGAGCAAUGAGUAAGGUUCCU